rnacentral:rRNA from 1 species
CACAGACUCCUACGGGAGGCAGCAGUGGGGAAUAUUGCACAAUGGGGGAAACCCUGAUGCAGCGACGCCGCGUGAGUGAAGAAGUAUUUCGGUACGUAAAGCUCUCUCAGCAGGGAAGAAAAUGACGGUACCUGACCAAGAAGCCCCGGCUAACUACGUGCCAGCAGCCGCGGUAAUACGUAGGGGGCAAGCGUUAUCCGGAUUUACUGGGUGUAAAGGGAGCGUAGACGGCGAAGAAAGUCUGGAGUGAAAGCCCGCGGCUUAACCGCGGAACUGCUUUGGAAACUUUUUGGCUGGAGUACCGGAGAGGUAAGCGGAAUUCCUAGUGUAGCGGUGAAAUGCGUAGAUAUUAGGAGGAACACCAGUGGCGAAGGCGGCUUACUGGACGGUAACUGACGUUGAGGCUCGAAGGCGUGGGGAGCAAACAGGAUUAGAUACCCUAGUA